UGCCAGCUCCAUCUUAGUGUCAGGACAUUCAGAAGGUAGAAAAGCAAGGGAACAACGGCAGAAGUGACAAAGCCAAAGAAAUGUAGUGAGCAGAAGAUGAAGCCACACACAUGCUGGUGAUGGGACGCAAGCCCUGGAUAACACUGUUCUUAGAAGUUUAUUGCACUGGCAGCUUUGGCAACAGCAUCAAAGACAAGCACGGGCAGAUGAAGAAUAGAAGUUCCAUGGCAUGUGUUGGAUAUCACAUUUCAGUUCAAGUGGAAAUCCUGCAAACGUCUCUAGAUGGCGCAGAUCCAGCGCGGCGCAGUCCACCCCAUCGGGACUGUAUUAGAUCUCUAAUUGAUGCCUCUCCCCUCGUCGCUGACAGUUACGCACAAACCAGGAUCAGGUCACGGAAUUUAGCGCGACCUGAAGAGGUGGCGUAGACCGCCUUCAGAGCCUACAGUGGAUUAAAAACAUAAUGAGAGCAUGGCUGAGAAAGUAAAACACACCAGGGCCAUAGGAAGAAGAAGACGAGAAGAAAAAGAAGAAAUCUCACACAACAAAUUAUUUUU